rnacentral:rRNA from 1 species
UCUAAUACCGAAUAGGACUACGCACUGCAUGGUGUGUGGUGGAAAGCUUUUGCGGUGUGGGAUGGGCCCGCGGCCUAUCAGCUUGUUGGUGGGGUGAUGGCCUACCAAGGCGACGACGGGUAGCCGGCCUGAGAGGGUGUCCGGCCACACUGGGACUGAGAUACGGCCCAGACUCCUACGGGAGGCAGCAGUGGGGAAUAUUGCACAAUGGGCGCAAGCCUGAUGCAGCGACGCCGCGUGAGGGAUGACGGCCUUCGGGUUGUAAACCUCUUUCAGUACCGACGAAGCGCAAGUGACGGUAGGUACAGAAGAAGCACCGGCCAACUACGUGCCAGCAGCCGCGGUAAUACGUAGGGUGCGAGCGUUGUCCGGAAUUACUGGGCGUAAAGAGCUCGUAGGUGGUUUGUCGCGUUGUUCGUGAAAACUCACAGCUUAACUGUGGGCGUGCGGGCGAUACGGGCAGACUGGAGUACUGCAGGGGAGACUGGAAUUCCUGGUGUAGCGGUGGAAUGCGCAGAUAUCAGGAGGAACACCGGUGGCGAAGGCGGGUCUCUGGGCAGUAACUGACGCUGAGGAGCGAAAGCGUGGGGAGCGAACAGGAUUAGAUACCCUGGUAGUCCACGCCGUAAACGGUGGGUACUAGGUGUGGGUUUCCUUCCUUGGGAUCCGUGCCGUAGCUAACGCAUUAAGUACCCCGCCUGGGGAGUACGGCCGCAAGGCUAAAACUCAAAGGAAUUGACGGGGGCCCGCACAAGCGGCGGAGCAUGUGGAUUAAUUCGAUGCAACGCGAAGAACCUUAUCCUGGGUUUG